rnacentral:rRNA from 1 species
UACGGGGGGGGCAAGCGUUGUUCGGAUUUACUGGGCGUAAAGGGCUCGUAGGUGGCCACCUAAGUCAGACGUGAAAUCCCUCGGCUUAACCGGGGAACUGCGUCUGAUACUGGAUGGCUUGAGUUUGGGAGAGGGACGCGGAAUUCAAGGUGUAGCGGUGAAAUGCGUAGAUAUCUGGAGGAACACCGGUGGCGAAGGCGGCGCCCUGGACCAAUCCUGACACUGAGGAGCGAAAGCCAGGGGAGCAAACGGG